ensembl:lncRNA
CUGUUUGUUCCUGCUUGUAUGACACACUGUUGGUUUGCUGCAAAGAGACAGACAGGCUGUCAGGAGCUCCUGGGUAACUGUGGGCUAUUCCCUGAUGGGCUCCGUGGAAGUGCAUCCAGUUGCCAGUGACGAACAUCCACCAGGUAAUCCACAUGAUGUAAAAGAAAACAUGAUUCAUCAGACCAGGACACCUUCUUCCAUCUGUGGUCCAAUUUUGAUGCUAACAUGCCCAUAGGCAGUGGACAGGGGUGGGGCCAUCAUGGACAUCCUGACUGGUCACAGGCUUGGAAAUGAAAACAAGAGAAGCCACAACUGAAGCUGGUUUCUUAAAUUAGAUAACUUCAUUUGCUCCUUGACAAGAUGUAUCGUCUUGAUGCUGGUUAUGUGUUGUGGAAAAAGUCAUUUUAAUGUCAUGUGUUUUUUUUUUUUUACUGCGUUUUUAUUGUAAACCAUGUCUGUGAGGCAUUUUCUGUACGGGAAAAUAAAUUUUGAAUCAAAUUGACUUGAAAUGUUUCGUUUCAGAGGCCUGUCAAUGUCGGAAGCUAAAUGUUUAUUACUCGAUUUGUACAAUGAGGAGGCGAGUUGAACAGACCUUUCCAGGCAAGGUCUAUUCAGAUCAUAUUUCCUAAUUAUCCUGACAUACUUCAGACUACUUGGUGCUAAUCAGAAGUCGAGAGUGUUCGGGGGCAUGAAAGAGGAAGGAAAAGAAGCAUGCUGGAUAAUGCUCACCUCCUUAACCAAAGGUUUAUUCUCAGCCGUGGUUGCCUUGGUGAGCAGGACCCGUGCUGCGAGCAAAAGCGCGCAGCAUUAUCAGUUCACCAGGCUUUGAGA